AGUGGUAUAGCUCAGUGAUAGACCACUUGCCUGGUAUGCACGUGGCCCUGGGUUUGAUUCCCAGCACUACAA
rnacentral:tRNA from 1 species